UUUCAAGGUGUUGUAGAAGAGGUUUCGUCUUCAUGCGUUAUGUUCUGCUGAAUGUCUUAAAUUUUGCCAACCACAUCAUUAUUUAUAUAUUUUUCCUAUAAUAUCAACAAGUACGUAGGUAUUUUUGAGCAUUGCAAUUAACUUUAUGAGUUCCUUUUUCCUUCUUUAGUUUUUCUAGAGUAACUCUUUGUUUGGGGGCCUUUAACAAUGAGCUAAAUUAACUAGGUAUGCAUGACUACCGAGAAAUUGUCUUAGAG
rnacentral:misc_RNA from 1 species